GAGGAUGGACCUGCGCCGCAUUAGCUAGUUGGUGAGAUAACAGCUCACCAAGGCGACGAUGCGUAGCCGACCUGAGAGGGUGAACGGCCGCACUGGGACUGAGAUACGGCCCAGACUCCUACGGGAGGCAGCAGCUAAGAAUAUUCCACAAUGGACGAAAGUCUGAUGGAGCGACGCCGCGUGGAUGAGGAAGGCCGAAAGGUUGUAAAAUCCUUUUGCGGAUGAAGAAUAAGUGGUGGAGGGAAUGCCAUCAUGAUGACGUUAGUCCGCGAAUAAGCCCCGGCUAAUUACGUGCCAGCAGCCGCGGUAACACGUAAGGGGCGAGCGUUGUUCGGAAUUAUUGGGCGUAAAGGGCGCGUAGGCGGUCGCGUAAGUCUGAUGUGAAAACCCCGGGCUCAACCCGGGAACUGCAUUGGAAACUGUGCGACUUGAGUCACGGAGGGGAAAUCGGAAUUCCUGGUGUAGGGGUGAAAUCUGUAGAUAUCAGGAAGAACACCGGUGGCGAAGGCGGAUUUCCAGCCGAUGACUGACGCUGAGGCGCGAAAGUGCGGGGAGCAAACAGGAUUAGAUACCCUGGUAGUCCGCACUAUAAACGAUGCACACUAGGUGUCGGGACGAGCGUCUCGGCGCCGGAGCGAACGCGAUAAGUGUGCCGCCUGGGGAGUAUGCCCGCAAGGGUGAAACUCAAAGGAAUUGACG
rnacentral:rRNA from 1 species